CUUUUCAGAUUCACAGCGUGAGUUUCAUAUUGCUUCUAGGAUUCCUCAGUAGUUCUGACCAGGAAUUCUUUUUAUCUUCAUGAAGUAUAUUUUUUACGGGGGAAGAACCUCCUCUCAUCAUAUACAGUCUUGGUGGGUUCCUCAGUCAAGAUGUUCAUCCCAACUCUGGCCAAGGAAUGGACACACUACUCAAGAACCUGUGACUGAGGAAUUAAGGGUGCAGAUGAAAUCAAGAUUCGGCAGACUUUAAGAUGAGGAGAUUAUCCCAGGUGAGACUAAUACAGUAGCGGAUGAGGAAAGCAGAGGAGUCCAAACGGGAAAGAACACAUCUUGAGGAAGACAUGACCCGCUAUUGCUGGCUUUACAGACCGAAGGGGACUAUGAGCCAAUGAAUGUGGGCAGCCUCUAAAAAAGUUGGAAGGGGUAAUAAAACGGAUUUUUUCCCCCUAGAGCCUUUAGAAAAACAUAGCUCU